rnacentral:lncRNA from 1 species
GCCAUAGUUCCUCAAUAGCUAAACUCAUGUUUCUGUUCCUCUCUUUUGCCUUAGCUCCCAGAGCUGCUUACACCUGCUUGGCUGAUUUCCCUGGGCUGUGCUGAGGAGUGAGAGAGGGUGAGAGGAGUUGGUACUAAUGCGAUUCAUCUCCCUUCUAUACCCCAGCAUACAAUGGGAAAGGCCUGAUUUUCACCAUCACCUACAGUACCAGGGACAUGCACCUGAUACGAAUCCCAGGGUUAGAAUCCUUCCUCGUCCAACUCCCAGAACUACUAUUUCAGUUUGGAGAUUAAGGAAGCUAUUUCUGCAUAAAUUACAACCGGAUCGCUUUCUUGAUUCUCAUAUUUCUUAGAUUUUUUCCAACACAAGGUCACAAUUUUUAUUAUAAUGAGCACAGGUAAUUUGUCUUGUCCCCUGUAACUCCAGGAAAUGUCUUUAACAGGAUGCACCUAGUUUUUUUGUACCUCAACCCUACCAUAUUGAAUAUUAUGAUUUAUCAGACACAUAAACAUAUAUGUUCUUGGUUUGUGUGUUGUUUGUGAGAUACUGCAAGAAUAUGUACAUUUUGCCUUAUUUUUAGACUAUAAUUUUGCAAACAUAUUUAAUGUAUUUUAACUUUCUUGAGAGUUUGAUAUGUGGAAACUGAGUAGUUUUAAUAUACAGAUAUUUGAACUAAAAUAAAUGAUAACAAUUGUCCGUUAAUUGUCA